rnacentral:SRP_RNA from 1 species
UCAGGGUGCGGUGGCCUGUGCCUGUAGUCCCAGCUACUCGGGAGGCUGAGGUGGGAGGAUCGCUUGAGCCCAGGAGUUCUGGGCUGUAGUGCGCUAUGCCGAUCAGGUGUCUGCACUAAGUUCGGCAUCAAUAUGGUGACCUCCCGGGAGCGGGGGACCACCAGGUUGCCUAAGGAGGGGUGAAUGGGCCUAGGUCGGAAAUGGAACAGGUCAAAACUCCCGUGCUGAUCAGUAGUGGGAUCCCGCCUGUGAAUAGCCACUGCACUCCAGCCUGGGCAACAUAGCGAGACCCUGUCUCU